rnacentral:ncRNA from 1 species
GGUCCACCUGCGGACCUAACAAGGCAGGACGGCGGGAGACGGCGACCUCCUAAAACGCCUA